CAGUAGCCGCGGUAAUACGGAGGGUGCAAGCGUUAAUCGGAAUUACUGGGCGUAAAGCGCACGCAGGCGGUUUGUUAAGUCAGAUGUGAAAUCCCCGGGCUCAACCUGGGAACUGCAUUUGAAACUGGCAAGCUAGAGUCUCGUAGAGGGGGGUAGAAUUCCAGGUGUAGCGGUGAAAUGCGUAGAGAUCUGGAGGAAUACCGGUGGCGAAGGCGGCCCCCUGGACGAAGACUGACGCUUAGGUGCGAAAGCGUGGGGAGCAAACAGGAUUAGAUACCCCUGUAGUCCCUGUCUCUUAUAA
rnacentral:rRNA from 1 species